rnacentral:miRNA from 1 species
UGCUACUUUUAAAAUCAAUUAUUUAAGAACCGAUCUUAAAAGUACUACUUUUAAGAUCGGUUCUUUUAUAACUGAUUUUGUAUGUAGUA